GGCUGGUUAGCUCAGUUGGUUAGAGCUUAGUGCUAAUAAUGCUAAAGUCCUGGUUUCAAUCCCCAUACAGGCCA
rfam:Dipodomys ordii contig_22463, whole genome shotgun sequence.